rnacentral:misc_RNA from 1 species
AAUUCUCAACCUCAUCAGUUUUGUUAUGAGACUGUGUGAGGCUUGGAUGUGGGGGUUGUGCAGAACGCUUUCUAGCAGACUGCUCCCCUUAAAAAUAUUAGCGAGUUCAAACUGGGCUCCGUCUAUUGGUGUGAUAAUUAUCUACGCCGUGGAUGGGGCUUAGACUUGCUUCUAACCGUCCGCAAGGACAAUCUUUUGACA